rnacentral:rRNA from 1 species
UACGGGAGGCAGCAGUGGGGAAUAUUGCACAAUAGGCGAAAGCCUGAUGCAGCUAUGCCGCGUGUAUGAAGAAGGCCUUAGGGUUGUAAAGUACUUUCAUCGGGGAGGAAAAAACAAAACUAAUAAUUUUAUUUCUUGACGUUACCCGAAAAAGAAGCACCGGCUAACUCCGUGCCAGCAGCCGCGGUAAUACGGAGGGUGCUAGCGUUAAUCAGAAUUACUGGGCGUAAAGAGCACGUAGGUGGUUUUUUUAAGUCAGAUGUGAAAUCCCUGGGCUUAACCUAGGAACUGCAUUUUGAAACUGAAAUACUAGAGUAUCGUAGAGGGAGGUAGAAUUCUAGGUGUAGCGGUGAAAUGCGUAGAUAUCUGGAGGAAUACCUGUGGCGAAAGCGGCCUCCUAAACGAAUACUGAAACUGAGGUGCGAAAGCGUGGGGAGCGAAACAGGGAUUAGGAUACC